GGUGACUCAGUGGUAGAGUGCUUGCCUUGCAUGCAUUAGGCCCUGGAUUCAAUUCUCAGCACCA
rnacentral:tRNA from 1 species